rnacentral:lncRNA from 1 species
GAACCUUUUGUUACCUCAAAUCAACGCGCAUUCAAUGUCAAGUGUUUUUCAAUAUCUUUUGACGUGAUCUCCUAUAGUUAUAUUCUGCAUCCACUAAACAGUUGCAUAACGAAUUUGUGAGUCGUCGUUAACAGUUAACAUUAUUUUGCAUCUUGUUCUAUUUUUAGAUAUCAAUAUGAAAGUGUUUGAUGAAAGAUCGUAUUUGAAACCCAGCACGCCACGGACUGGAGAAUGUGUUCCAGGAUGUGAUUGUCAAGAUAUUGAUCUGGAGAAUACUUGCAUGAAGUGACAUUUUCCAAAGAAGUGAACCAUAUCAACCAUGACACUACAAAUUGUUACAGUAUAGUUAUUUAUUAUAAAUUAUUCUAGUAAUAUUUAAUAAAUAUUUAUUAAUUUAUUUUUAACUUUCUUUAUUCACUCUCAACGUGUUGCCUUUUUCCUCAAUCCUUUCCUCUAUACCUCAGGUAGCGGAUAUCACCAUCAAAUGCAUUCUCAAGGAGGA